rnacentral:rRNA from 1 species
UGCACCUACGGGGGGCAGCAGUGAGGAAUAUUGGUCAAUGGGCGGGAGCCUGAACCAGCCAAGUCGCGUGAAGGAAGAAGGUACUUAGUAUUGUAAACUUCUUUUGUCGGGGAACAAAGGCGGAGACGCGUCUCCGGAUGAGUGUACCCGAAGAAAAAGCAUCGGCUAACUCCGUGCCAGCAGCCGCGGUAAUACGGAGGAUGCGAGCGUUAUCCGGAUUUAUUGGGUUUAAAGGUCGCGCAGGCGUGGGAUCAAGUCAUCGGUAAAAUGUCGGUGUUCAACCCCGGCCGGCCGU